rnacentral:rRNA from 1 species
CAGCGCCACAAGUGGGGAUCCUGUUUAUUUGGCCUAAAGCGUCCGUAGCUGGUUCAGUAAAUCUUUUGUGAAAUCGUUAAGCUUAACUUAACGGCGUGCAGGAGAGACUGCUAAGCUAGGGACCGGGAGGAGUCAGAGGUAUGCCGGGGGGAGCGGUAAAAUGCUAUAAUCCCUAGUGGACCACCUAUGGCGAAGGCAUCUGACUAGAACGGGUCCGACAGUGAGGGACGAAAGCCAGGGGAGCAAACCGGAUUAGAUACCCGAGUAGUCC